rnacentral:misc_RNA from 1 species
AUAAUACUUGAGGAAGCAGGGAAAAACAAAUAAUCAGGGCCUGAUAGCGACGUUAAGAUCUGCUAAUGUAGAAGUGGAGAGGACAAAACAAAAGGAAGUAUAGGCUGAACGGAGAGCUAGAGGGAGCUCUGAGGCGUUACUAUAAAGAAUGGAAAUAGAUAGACUAAGAGGCAAUCUGAAAAAGUGGCGAAGGAAAAAAAAAAGAAAGACAAACAAGAUCAAAGAUAAAAUUGGACUAUAUAAAAAUGUGGCUAUCUAGUUCAGAAAAGAGAGUAAUCGCAACCUAAAUUCUAAUGAAGAUUUUUAUGACUAUCUCGGAAACUAGAGCCGAACGGCGGUAACGCGUAUAGAGAAAAGUUUUUCACAAUAAUGACAUUG